GAUGAACGCUAGCUACAGGCUUAACACAUGCAAGUCGAGGGGAAACGACAUCGAAAGCUUGCUUUUGAUGGGCGUCGACCGGCGCACGGGUGAGUAACGCGUAUCCAACCUGCCCAUCACUUGGGAAUAACCUUGCGAAAGUAAGACUAAUACCCAAUGAUAUCCCACGAAGGCAUCGGAAUGGGAUUAAAGAUUUAUCGGUGAUGGAUGGGGAUGCGUCUGAUUAGCUUGUUGGCGGGGUAACGGCCCACCAAGGCAACGAUCAGUAGGGGUUCUGAGAGGAAGGUCCCCCACAUUGGAACUGAGACACGGUCCAAACUCCUACGGGAGGCAGCAGUGAGGAAUAUUGGUGAAUGGGCGAGAGCCUGAACCAGCCAAGUAGCGUGCAGGAAGGCGGCCCUAUGGGUUGUAAACUGCUUUUAUAAGGGAAUAAAGUGGGUCACGUGUGACUUUUUGCAUGUACCUUAUGAAUAAGGACCGGCUAAUUCCGUG
rnacentral:rRNA from 1 species